rnacentral:rRNA from 1 species
UGCGUAGGCGGCGCGGUAAGUCGGAUGUGAAAUCUCGGAGCUUAACUCCGAAACUGCAUUCGAUACUGCCGUGCUUGAGGACUGGAGAGGAGACUGGAAUUUACGGUGUAGCGGUGAAAUGCGUAGAUAUCGUAAGGAAGACCAGUGGCGAAGGCGGGUCUCUGGACAGUUCCUGACGCUGAGGCACGAAGGCCAGGGAGCAAACG